UACGUAGGGUGCAAGCGUUGUCCGGAAUUAUUGGGCGUAAAGAGCUCGUAGGCGGCCAGGUAGGUCAGCUGUGAAAACUCGAGGCUCAACCUCGAGCGCCGGUUGAAACCAUCUGGCUAGAGUCCGGAAGAGGAGAGUGGAAUUCCUGGUGUAGCGGUGAAAUGCGCAGAUAUCAGGAAGAACACCCGUGGCUAAGGCGGCUCUCUAGUACGGUACUGACGCUGA
rnacentral:rRNA from 1 species